CAGUCGCCGCGGGAAUACGUAGGUGGCAAGCGUUGUCCGGAAUUAUUGGGCGUAAAGGGCUCGCAGGCGGUUUCUUAAGUCUGAUGUGAAAGCCCCCGGCUCAACCGGGGAGGGUCAUUGGAAACUGGGAAACUUGAGUGCAGAAGAGGAGAGUGGAAUUCCACGUGUAGCGGUGAAAUGCGUAGAGAUGUGGAGGAACACCAGUGGCGAAGGCGACUCUCUGGUCUGUAACUGACGCUGAGGAGCGAAAGCGUGGGGAGCGAACAGGAUUAGAGACCCCUGUAGUCCCUGUCUCUUAUAA
rnacentral:rRNA from 1 species